rnacentral:rRNA from 1 species
GUGCCAGCCGCCGCGGUAAUACCGGCAGCACGAGUGAUGGCCGCUAUUAUUGGGCCUAAAGCGUCCGUAGCCGGCCGGGCAAGUCCGUCGGGAAAUCCACCCGCUUAACGGGUGGGCGUCCGGCGGAAACUGCUCGGCUUGGGACCAGAGGACCCGAGGGGUACGUCCGGGGUAGGAGUGAAAUCCCGUAAUCCCGGACGGACCGCCGGUGGCGAAAGCGCCUCGGGAGGACGGAUCCGACGGUGAGGGACGAAAGCUAAGAUCGCGAACCGGAUUAGAUACCCUUGUAGUCC